GGGGUGGUAACUCAAUUGGUAGAGUGCUAGCUUUGCAAGCUAGAAGUUGAGGGUUCAAGUCCCUUCCGCUCCA
rnacentral:tRNA from 1 species